GAAGCAACGCGAAGAACCUUACCAGGUCUUGACAUCCUCUGACACUCCUAGAGAUAGGACGUUCCCCUUCGGGGGACAGAGUGACAGGUGGUGCAUGGUUGUCGUCAGCUCGUGUCGUGAGAUGUUGGGUUAAGUCCCGCAACGAGCGCAACCCUUGAUCUUAGUUGCCAGCAUUCAGUUGGGCACUCUAAGGUGACUGCCGGUGACAAACCGGAGGAAGGUGGGAUGACGUCAAAUCAUCAUGCCCCUUAUGACCUGGUAAGGUUCUUCGCGUUGCUUC
rnacentral:rRNA from 1 species